GCCUUUGAGCUGCCAAAGGACCUCAUUUUAAAUGAAAUAACCCAGACACAGGAAGAUCACAUAUUGCUCAUCAUAUGUGGAAGCUAAGAAAAUAAUUAAUCUGAACAAGAAUACCAAAAACUACGUUAAGAGGUGCCCGUGGAGGGUGUGAGGCCGGUAGUGGCCCCCGGCGCGCUGGGCCCGGGUCUUCCUGGAGUCGGGUUGCUUGGGAAUGCAGCCCAAAGUGGGUGGUAAACUCCAUCUAAGGCUAAAUACCGGCACGAGACCGAUAGUCAACAAGUACCGUAAGGGAAAGUUGAAAAGAACUUCGAAGAGAGAGUUCAAGAGGGCAUGAAACCGUUAAGAAUACCAAAAACUAGA
rnacentral:ncRNA from 1 species